rnacentral:lncRNA from 1 species
CAAGAACGCAUGUAAUAAACCAUACCCUCAAGACGUGAUGGCAAUUUAAGCUCAACUGAUUCUUCAACAGUGUCCAUGGAGAAAACCCUCCAAUAAUAAGAGGCUUUGAGCACGGAUGCUUGUUUGUUCCUGGAAUUGGCAAGGUGGGCUUCAACAAACUGUGGGCUUGUUAUGAUGGACAGCCAGGUUUUGCAGACUGAUUUGAAGCGGAGAAGUGAUAUUACAGGAAGAUGGGAAAGUAUGAGAAAAACCAUCUCUUCGGAGAAAUAAUUAGUCGCCAUUGAGCCCUAGGAUGUUGUGUGUAUUAUAUAACAUUCAAAUGUGCAUCAGAAAGAUAAACAAGACCAUUACAAGAAUGAAAAUAACGAACCAUACUCUUACAGCAUGAUGACAAUUUGAACACUAUUAACGGCCGGUGUACUUAUUUUCUCUUGGAAUUAAGGUGGACUUCAACAAACUGAGGGUUUGUUAUAUAUAAAGAAUAGAUAGGUUUUACAAACUCAAAGCUGAAGGUGAUAUCACAAGAAGAUAUGAAUGUCGAAUAUUAUUUCUUCACAUAAAUAAUAGAUAGAUCUUUUACUCCUUAUUCAGCUGUAAUGAUGAUGAUAAAGUUGCGUUUUAGGGUUCCCGUUAUCGAACCCUAAUAUAUAUAUCCGUUGUAUUUAUUCUUACAAAUUCUGUAAAUUAUUUUAAGCUUUCUUUUCAAAAGGUUUAUCAAAGAGUUUAAAAUUAUUAAGAAAAUUAUAUACAAAAAUUUCAACCUAUUUUACAACAAAGCAGGGUGUACUUCGUAGACUCAAUGACAAGGCAUUAGACUAACCCCCUUGUGCUCUCUACAUUACACAAAUUUACGAAACAAACAAGCUGGUCCUAUUAUAAACACAUUUGCAGCAAUUAUGCUGGACUCUUCCUUUCCCAGAUAUGACCCUGCAAAAGAUUACAAGAAUGUCAGUCUAAGAAUAUCUGAUAACAUUUGGAAAAAAUGAACUCGAAAAGAAAACAAACGAUAAUUCUAUGGAAUUGAGCAUUCUUUCUUUCACAAUAUCAAAGUUACUUACCACUUCACGCUUGUGAUUCAAACCCCUCAAGAGAGACAAGGCUCUCAGUGAACUUGGCAACCGACUUGACAUCGGUGAGAUGAGCGGGGAAAGGAAGCUUCUUAGUGGUUUUCUUCUUGUAGUUGUAAAAUUUGUAUCCAAAAAUAAAAUUAAGUCCAAGAAAGUGUUGGGCGCCCAAAUAAAGAUACAUCCGAUCCAACUCUAAAUCCGUUUCAAGAUUGAACUUUUUAAUCCACAAGCCAGCAUCAUCUAACAUCCAAAGACUAAGGACUGAUUCAUCCCCAGCUGCAGAUUCAUAUACCAUAGCCAGAGAACCUUCAAAAUCCAAAAUUUUGGACUUCUUUAUCCUUUUCUGUUCCACGUUAUAAUCAAGAAACGGUAAUACUACAAGUUCUCCAAACACAUCGUUGCGCAAAUCAAACGGCAAUAGCCCACCGUCACCUUCCAAAUACAACUUCCCACUAAUAUCAGGACCACAGGAUCUCUUCAGCCUAUUCCAAAAAGAUAUUCUAAUAGUAUCCGGAAUACGAAUCUUUUUCCAAGUAUCAGCCUUUGCGGAAUACAACUGUGCUUCUGGUUUAAGAUUCAUGCUAACAAUAAAACCUCGUAAGUCACGGACAACCUUUGUUACAAUCCAAAGAAUCUUGUAGUCGUUUCCAAUAGAAUCAAAACCAAACCCUAGACAAUGCCUUACACCAAAUGCAUAGUUGGGCACAGAAAGCAUCUUAUACUGUCUAGUACACGGAUUCCAAAUACAUAUACUAUCAUAACAAUCAUUAGAAAGACAAACAAGACCAUUACAAGAACGCAUGUAACGAACCUUACCCUCCCAAUGUGAUGGCAGUUUAAGCUCAACUGAAUCUUCCACAGUGUCCAUGGAGAGAACCCUCCAAUCAUAAGAGGCUUUGAGCACAGAUGCUUGUUUCUUCUAGGAAUUAGCCAGCUGGGCUUUAACAAACUGUGGGCUUUCUAUGAUAGAUAGCCAGGUUUUGCACACAGAUUUGCAGCGUAGAAGUGAUAUUACAGGAAGAUAGGAAAGUAUGAGGAACACCAUCUCUUCGGAUAAAUAAUUAUUACAUCUUUUAGUGGCCAUUGAGCACAAGAAAUGAUUAUGAGAAUAAUAAAGUUGCGUUUUGGUGUUCAGAUAGAGGUGGUAAGAAGAGGGGUGCGAGACUAGGCAUUCUGAACCCUAUUAUAUAUAUACCCGCUGUACCCUACACAGCGAACAGACGCCUCCCUCUAUUUCUUCACUUCGCGACUCUUCGCGUAAAUUCUUUUUCUUUAUCAGGGAAAACGUCAUCAAUCUGCCUAAACAAAUCUGCGGGAAUAAUAAUUUUUGCCAUAACAAGAAUUUAUUUCUAAAAAAGUUUUAAAUUACUAAUUCUGCCGGUUAAAUAUUCUUUUUCAAAUUUUCUUUUUAUGAAUUAAAAUAUUAUACUUAUAAUUUUAUUCACAAAAGUAAAAAUUUCAAAUAGGUGAUUAAAUUACUUAAAAGUACAUGAAAAAAAGUUAGGAGACUAACAUACCCACAAAAAGAAUAAUUAAUAUUUGGUCACAUUUCUUUGAUUAGAUAUAUUUUUUGAAAAUGUGAAAUAAUUAGAGCAUGUAUCAAUUCAUAGUAGAAUAUCUUAAUGGUAUUUGAUAAAAUAAUGAAGUCUUAAAUAUAAAAACAAUUUUUACAUUAAUUUCUUGAAAUAAUUAAGUAAAGUAUUAUGUUUAUUAUAAUUCCUGAAAAUUUAAUAUUAAUGUUAUUGAUAUCGAGUAAGCAUUAUUCUGAUUGGACAAUUUUUUUUUAAAAAAAAUCAGUUCAAGGAUCAAUUCAAAAAAACAUAUGUUAUUUUACCAUCAUAACUUGUUUUAAGAUUAUAAACAAUAAGAUAAUUAAUUCUUUUAGAGUGUAAAAGAAUUGGGGCGUACCUUCAAAAAUAAAAAUCUCCUGCAAAUUCCUUUCAAAAAUAUGUUUUUAGAUCAAUUGAACUUUAAAAAUUACAAUUUAAAACUUCUCCGAUCUAAUAUGCAACUCCAUUUUUAUUAUAUUUUUCUCAAUUGAUUUGAGAAGUAAUUCCCUUUUGUAAAUCGUAACUUUCAAAAAUGAAACUUAAAAACAGAAAUUUGAAUAUAUAUUUCAGAAAACCAUUUUUUCGAAACCAAGUUAAAAGUGUAGGGUGUUUCUUUAUAAUUUCCCUAAAUAAUACUGUCAAACAAGCCCGAAAUCCGUUUGCUUGCUUUGGAUAGCAUUUUCAAGUCAAAUAAUUAAACGAAUGGGAAAAGUCAUAUCUAGAAGCACAUAAGCAACUAUAUAUAUUCAAGCUUCACUACCAUAAAAUCCACAGCAUGCAGAUGAAAAAGGAGAAGCAACUUUUACCUAUCCGUCUAAACAUAAUAAUUUUUAGCAACCAACAAAUCCAUCCAUUAUACCUAGAACCUAAACUUACAAAGCAGGGUGUACUUGGUACUCAAUGACAAGGCAUUAGACUAAAUUCACUUGUGCCAUCUACAUGCACAAUUUACAAAACAAACAAGCUGGUCCAGUUAUAAACACAUUUGCCACAAUUCUGCCCGACUCUUCCUUUCCCUUAAAUGACCCUGCAAAAGAUUGCCAAUGUCAGUCUAAUAAGCACUUGAUAACAUUUGUGAACUGUCGCAAAAUUCUUUAGAGAACCAUAUUUCACCUUGGCAUUGCAUUAUAUUACAAAAAGAUGAAACAUAAAUAAUUGUGGCUCUUUAAUUGGUAGAAGUAGCGGCUUCUUUAAGUGUAGAAGUCCAGUACACCCUUUCUGUUUAUUUUAUCCAACUUUAACUUGUUAUGCUAAUUGCUUUUGUUUUAGUUUCAUUAGUUGGAAAAUGGUGAAUGUAUUGCACUUGCAAGAAACAGUAUCAUGUGACUUGUGUCUCUGGAUUUUAAACGAAUUUCUUAGCAAGUUUAUCUAUUAUCAAUUCAAACUCUUUUAAAAAUUAUAUUAUAAUGUACCAAACACUGCACGAACUUAUAAGUCAAAUUAUCCAAACACUAAAAAAAACUUACAAGUUCAAGUAACCAAACACUUAAAUUAAUGUUUGACAAAUUAACAAUGAGUUGAGAAUAGUAUUAUUAUUAUUACACACGCACUAACAAAAUCUCCUUCACAAGUCCUGAACAAUGAGUAGAAUACAAUACAAGAUGAAUAUCUUACCUAUAUUCCUCUAUUGAAUAAAUUGAAUUUCCUUUUCUUAGUUAGACUAGCUGGUAAAAGCAAAAAUAUAAUAACAAAUCUCAAAAAAAUUCUGCAAGAUAACGGUAACAUGGUAGAUCCACAAAAAACCAGGGUAAUGGAUCCAUACAUCACAGGUACUAGAGUGUCUGAUAUACUAUAAAUGCCGAUAUCACAGAGCAUACUCAAUCUUCAACAUUUUUCCUGUUUUAGGAAUUAGAACACAGUGAGAAUAUAUUGGGAUGACAGUAUUAUGUUUAUAAUUACUGCAGGGCCUGAUAAAGAACAAUGUAUGUAAGUUGACACAUACACGCAAUCUAGCUAAGAUAUUGAAAUGAAAGAUGCCAAGGGGAUCAACCAUUAAAUCCUAAUAAAGCAGGGUAGGAGCAUAUUGACAAUGUUUGUGGAAAAAAUUGAGUAAACACAAGGCAACCAUCUGUGAUUCUUUUUUUAAGUAUACUAAUAAUCAGAUACUCAAAAACUACUAUUAAUAACUAAGACUAGAGAGCAAAGAGGGUGUUGAUAUAUGUCUAAGAAGUUGGAAAGUGCCUAUAUACUGCAAGUACUGGUAAUAACUAUAUAUGUAAGGACGUCGUCCAUCAACUCUAACUUGAUCCACAAAUCUAAGUUAGCCAAGUGAGAUUACAGGAGCAGAGAUAUCACUUAUCCAAACAAUGUAUGUAAGUUCACUUGUUUAAAUAAUUAGAGUGAAUUAGGAAGUAUAUAUACAAUGAAACUACACUUACCAAAAAAAAUAAACUCGAAAAAUAAACAAACAAUAAUUCUACAAAAUGGAGCAUUCUUACACAAUAUUAGAGUUACUUGCGACUUCAUUCUUGUGAUUGAAACCCCUCAAGGGAAACAAGGCUCUGAGUGAACUUGGCAACUGACUUGACAUCGGUGAGAUGAGCUGGGAAAGGAAGCUUCUUAGUCGUUUUCUUUGUGUAGUUGUAAAAUUUGUAUCCAAAAACAAAAUUGAGUCCAAGAAAGUGUUGAGCGCCCAAAUAAAGAUACGUCCGAUCCAACUCCAAAUCCAUUUCAAGAUUGAACUUUUUAAUCCACAAGCCAUCAUCAUCUAACAUCCAAAGACUCAUAACUGAUUCAUCCCCAGCAGAUUCAUAUACCAUAGCCACAGAACCUUCAAAAUCCAAAAUCUUAGACUUCUUUAUCCUUUUCUGUUCCACGUAAUCAGGAAACGGUAACACCACAAUUUCUCCAAACAAAUCAUUCCGCAAAUCAAACGGCAAUAGCUCACCCUCCCCUUCCAUGUACAACUUCCCACUAAUAUCAGGACCACAGAAUCUCUUCAGCUUAUGCCAAAAAGACAUUUUAAUAGUAUCCGGAGUACGAAUCAUUUUCCAGGUAUCAGCAUUUGCGGAAUACAACUGUGCUUCUGAGAAGUUACCCAUGUUAAUAAUAAAACCCCAUGUGUUACGGGUAACCUUUGUUACAAUCCUAAGAAUCUUGUAGUCAUUUCCAACAGAAUCAAACCCAAACCCUAAACAAGCCCCGACAUUAUUUAUUGAAUAGUUGGGGGCAUUAAGCAUCUUAUACUGUCUAGUACACGGAUUCCAAAUACAAAUAUCAUAACUACUUUCAUUGGAAAGACAAACAAGACCAUUACAAGAACGCAUGUAAUAAACCAUACCCUCAAGACGUGAUGGCAAUUUAAGCUCAACUGAUUCUUCAACACUGUCCAUGGAGAAAACCCCCCAAUAAUAAGAGGCUUUGAGCACGGAUGCUUGUUUGUUCCUGGAAUUGGCAAGGUGGGCUUCAACAAACUGUGGGCUUUUUAUGAUGGAUAGCCAGGUUUUGCAGACUGAUUUGAAGCGGAGAAGUGAUAUUACAGGAAGAUAGGAAAGUAUGAGAAAAA